rnacentral:rRNA from 1 species
GGAUAACUGUGGUAAUUCUAGAGCUAAUACGUGCCACGAGUUCCCAAAGUGUUUCUGUCUCUACGGGCAGAGCAUGAGUAAGACGCAAUUAUUAGAACCAAAAAUUGUACCGGGGUGUCGGCGUUCGCGUUCGAGAAUACUCGGCGCGUCGACGUGCCCUACUUGGUGUAGAAUUUGGUGAAUCUGGAUAAUACCUUUUAGCAGAGCGCUUAGGCCUUCGUGCCGGCGCUUGACCUUUGAAGAGUCUGCCCUAUCAGCUAGAUUGUAGAUUAAAUGUCUACAAUGGCUAUAACGGGUAACGGGGAAUCAGGGUUCGAUUCCGGAGAGGGAGCCUGAGAAACGGCUACCACAUCUAAGGAAGGCAGCAGGCACGCAAAUUGCUCAAUCUUAGCUCGAGGAAGCAGUGACAAAAUAUCUUGAUGCGGGACUCUUCCGAGGCCUCGCAAUCAGGAUGCGUUUACUUUAAAACAGUAAACUGAACGCAAUUGGAGGGCAAGUCUGGUGCCAGCAGCCGCGGUAAUUCCAGCUCCAAUAGCGUACAUUUAAGUUGCUGCGGUUAAAAAGCUCGUAGUUGGACUUUAUACUCAGGCAGUCGGCCCACUCUCCUACUUUCGGGCGUGCGACCCCUUUCUGCGUGCCUUUUCUUUCGCCCUGGUGCGUUAAAAAGGUCGUGAUUGUUUCGGGAAGCCGUCUAUUGUAGGUGUUUAGUUUGGUUUUCCUGGCUGUGACUGAGUGUAUAUGAGACCGUCGAUCAGCUUUUUUUGCACCGCUGUUGCCAGUAUCGGUGCCCUUUACUGGUGUGUCCGUCUGGCAUCACGUGCAGUUACAUCCUGGCGGCCGUUAACCCGUGCCCUGUUAUACAAACGCUUUCGGGCGGGCAGGUGUCGCGGAGGUCGCUUGCGAUGGAAAGUUAUCGACUCGAUCACUUUGAAAAAAUUAGAGUGCUCAAAGCAGGCCUCAUUGCAUAAUUGCCUGAAUGGUAGUGCAUGGAAUGAUGGAAGAUGAUCUCUACCUAGUUUAAAAGUAUCUUUUUAUACCAACGUGGCGGCUUGCGUUUUGGCGCUCGUCGUCGGUACGUUAAGAUUCUAGGUUUGAGAUAAUGAUUAAAGGGAACUGCCGGGGGCGUUUGUAUUACGGCGCUAGAGGUGAAAUUCUUGGACCGUCGUAAGACAAACUACUGCGAAAGCAUUCGCCAAGAAUGUUUUCAUUAAUCAAGAACGAAAGUUAGAGUUUAGAAGGAGAUCAGAUACCUCCCUAUUUCUAACCGUAAACUAUGCUAACCGGUUGUCCGUUGGAAGUCAUUUCUAAGACUGGACGAGCGACCCCGGGGAAACCAGAGUUUCUGAGUUCCGGGGGAAGUAUGGUUGCAAAGCUGAAACUUAAAGGAAUUGACGGAAGGGCACCACCAGGAGUGGAGCCUGCGGCUUAAUUUGACUCAACACGGGAAAACUCACCAGGCCCAGAAACAUUUAGGAUUGACAGAUUGAAAGCUCUUUCAUGAUUAUGAGGAUGGUGGUGCAUGGCCGUUCUUAGUUGGUGGAGCGAUCUGUCUGGUUAAUUCCGAUAACGAACGAGAUUCUCGUUUACUAAAUAGAAGGUAGAUCUGAUCCCGAAAGCUUUUUUGCUCUUUAUUCCCUGAGGUGUCGGGCUGAUGCGUCUUCAUCGUUAAGCCUCUUGUCGUCGGUUCUCUCUCGUCGUUCGCUGCCUUCUGCCUCGUGUGGUUGGCUAGUGGGAUGAUGGGUAGAGUUAUCGCGCAGGAGGUGGUGAGGACGAGUAUGCUUCGAUUUAUGCCGAGGGGAGGAGUGAAGCUUAUGUCGGGUAGUCUAUCAUUUCCGUUUCUUCUUAGAAAAAUCAAUGGUGCUCUAAUCAGUUGACAGGAAGAGCAAUAACAGGUCUGUGAUGCCCUUAGAUGUUCUGGGCCGCACGCGCGCUACAAUGCACGGUGCAACACGUCCUCCUUCUCCUAAUGGAGUGGGUAACCGGUUGAAAUCCGUGCCUACUUGGGAUUGGGGCUUGCAAAUAUUUCCCAUAAACGAGGAAUUCCCAGUAAGCGUUGGCUCAUUUAAGUCGCGCUGAUUACGUCCCUGCCCUUUGUACACACCGCCCGUCGCUACUACCGAUUGAAUGAUUCAGUGAGAACAUUGGACUGUCGUUCUAUGCACCAUUAAACCACCGAUUCGGGGGGGUGUUUUCAAAGGACUGACGGGAAGAUGUUCAAACUUGAUCAUUUAGA